UAGGGGGCUACAGCGGGUAACGGCUGCUAAUACCCCAUAUGCCGAAAGGUGAAAAGAAAUUUGCCUUGAGAGGGGCUCGCGUCCGAUUAGCUAGUUGGUGAGGUAAGAGCUUACCAAGGCGACGAUCGGUAGCUGGUCUGAGAGGAUGAGCAGCCACACUGGGACUGAGACACGGCCCAGACUCCUACGGGAGGCAGCAGUGGGGAAUUUUCCGCAAUGGGCGAAAGCCUGACGGAGCAACGCCGCGUGGGGGAAGAAGGCCUUUGGGUUGUAAACUCCUUUUCUCAGGGAAGAAGAUCUGACGGUACCUGAGGAAUCAGCCUCGGCUAACUCCGUGCCAGCAGCCGCGGUAAUACGGAGGAGGCAAGCGUUAUCCGGAAUUAUUGGGCGUAAAGCGUUCGUAGGCGGCGUUUCAAGUCUGCUGUCAAAGGCCGAGGCUCAACUUCGGAAAGGCAGUGGAAACUGAAAAGCUAGAGGUCGGUAGGGGCAGAGGGAAUUCCCAGUGUAGCGGUGAAAUGCGUAGAUAUUGGGAAGAACACCGGUGGCGAAAGCGCUCUGCUGGGCCGAACCUGACGCUGAGGGACGAAAGCUAGGGGAGCGAAUGGGAUUAGAUACCCACAGUAG
rnacentral:rRNA from 1 species